GAUGAACGCUAGCGGCAGGCCUAAUACAUGCAAGUCGAGGGAGAAUGUUGGAUUCGUCUGACAUGAAACCGGCGCACGGGCGCGUAACACGUAUGCAACCUACCUUUAACUGGGGUAUAGCUCAGAGAAAUCUGAAUUAAUCCCCCAUAAGACUACGACAUGGCAUCAUGAUGUAGUUAAAGCUCCGGCGGCUACGGAUGGGCAUGCGGUACAUAAGCUAGUUGGUGAGGUAAUGGCUCACCAAGGCUACGAUGUAUAGGGGGUCUGAGAGGAUGAUCCUCCACACUGGUGCUGAGACACGGACCAGACUCCUACGGGAGGCAGCAGUAGGGAAUAUUGGUCAAUGGACGCAAGUCUGAACCAGCCAUGCCGCGUGAAGGAUGAAGGCCCUAUGGGUCGUAAACUUCUUUUAUUAGGGAAGAAAAAACGGGAUGCGUCCUGUACUGACGGUACUUAAUGAAUAAGGAUCGGCUAACUUCGUGCCAGCCGCCGCGGUAA
rnacentral:rRNA from 1 species